rnacentral:rRNA from 1 species
GAUGAACGCUGGCGGCGUGCCUAAUACAUGCAAGUCGAGCGAACGGACGAGAAGCUUGCUUCUCUGAUGUUAGCGGCGGACGGGUGAGUAACACGUGGAUAACCUACCUAUAAGACUGGGAUAACUUCGGGAAACCGUAGCUAAUACCGGAUAAUAUUUUGAACCGCAUGGUUCAAAAGUGAAAGACGGUCUUGCUGUCACUUAUAGAUGGAUCCGCCCUGCAUUAGCUAGUUGGUAAGGUAACGGCUUACCAAGGCAACGAUGCAUAGCCGACCUGAGAGGGUGAACGGCCACACUGGAACUGAGACACGGUCCAGACUCCUACGGGAGGCAGCAGUAGGGAAUCUUCCGCAAUGGGCGAAAGCCUGACGGAGCAACGCCGCGUGAGUGAUGAAGGUCUUCGGAUCGUAAAACUCUGUUAUUAGGGAAGAACAUAUGUGUAAGUAACUGUGCACAUCUUGACGGUACCUAAUCAGAAAGCCACGGCUAACUACGUG